GAUGAAGAACGCAGCGAAAUGCGAUAAGUAAUGCGAAUUGCAGAAUUUCCGUGAGUCAUCGAAUCUUUGAACGCACAUUGCGCCCACUGGUAUUCCGGUGGGCAUGCCUGUUCGAGCGUCAUUAUCCUCCCUCAAACCCCGGGUUUGGUGUUGGACCCAAGUUGUGUGAACAACUGGUCUCAAAGACAAUGACGGCGUCCGUGGGACCCUCGGUGCAACGAGCUUUUAGGAGCACGCAUCGAGUUGCAAGGACCUUCCGGGCCGGUCUCCCUUACCAUUUUACAAGGUUGACCUCGGAUCAGGUAGGAAUACCCGCUGAACUUAAGCAUAUCAAUAAGCGGAGGA
rnacentral:misc_RNA from 1 species